GACGAACGCUGGCGGCGUGCUUAACACAUGCAAGUCGAACGGAAAGGCCCUGCUUUUGUGGGGUGCUCGAGUGGCGAACGGGUGAGUAACACGUGAGUAACCUGCCCUUGACUUUGGGAUAACUUCAGGAAACUGGGGCUAAUACCGGAUAGGAGCUCCUGCUGCAUGGUGGGGGUUGGAAAGUUUCGGCGGUUGGGGAUGGACUCGCGGCUUAUCAGCUUGUUGGUGGGGUAGUGGCUUACCAAGGCUUUGACGGGUAGCCGGCCUGAGAGGGUGACCGGCCACAUUGGGACUGAGAUACGGCCCAGACUCCUACGGGAGGCAGCAGUGGGGAAUAUUGCACAAUGGGCGGAAGCCUGAUGCAGCAACGCCGCGUGCGGGAUGGCGGCCUUCGGGUUGUAAACCGCUUUCGCCUGUGACGAAGCGUGAGUGACGGUAAUGGGUAAAGAAACACCGGCUAACUACGUG
rnacentral:rRNA from 1 species